rnacentral:lncRNA from 10 species
UAGACCUGAAAGUGAUAAACAAUACAAUUCUUAAUUUGAAAGAUUGCUUCAUUUCACCGAGUAGAAGAAUUUAAUAAUGCUGUUUUUCAAGCACUUGUCUACCAUGGAAAUACCGUGAAGGAAAAUUACUAGUCAGAAAGACUCUCUUCGUGACUUUGAUGAAGUAAAUGACCAUGCUGGAAAAGCCCUUGUGGUAAGGAACUGCAGGUGGCCUUUAAAUAAUUGCAAGCAACCAAGUGAUGUCAGCAAGGUGGCAGACUAGGAAGUCUCAGCCUCCACUCCCCUCUACAGAAAGUUCAACUAGCAACUAGCAACAGAAUAGAGCAUGCUUCUGAAAAUCUCAACACUUGGAAACAAGCCUGAGAUACUCAUGUGGUGCACAGAACUGAAUGAAGUCUGAAUUAGUAAGGUAAGAAUGGUUUCACUACAACUGCACCUCUACCCCCACCAAGCCAGCACAAUGUCCGAUAGAGGGGAUUUUCCUGGGCCCAUAGUUUCUACAUGAGGAAAGAAGAAUUGAGAAAGUCAUCCAGCUUCCCUAGCAUUCUGAGACUCUUGCCAGGAGUCCCACUCUAGUUAUACCUCACAUGGGGAACACUGGAGGAAAUGGCAUAGAUAGACCACCCCUCCUAGCCAUGUACAAACAAAAGAAGGCAGAGGUCAUAGUGACCAGCAUGCAGAUCUUGGUGGUAGCUCUGUGGCUCUGUGUUUCUGCCAUCUGCAGCCCAGAAUCAGAGACAUCACCCUACCUCAUAGCCCACAGCAAAACUGAGUGGUGGCCUUCAAAAGCACAAUGGGAAGUGCAACCUAGCUUGAGUCCCCACAUUGCUAGUCUUCCUGCCCAGCCUCAGAACCCACCCUAAUGACCUUGCCCAGGUAGGAAAACUAACACCUCCGCACAUUUCAAAGAAGCAGAGGGGUUACGCCUCUUGACCCAGGAGGUCAAGCAGCCACUUAACUCAACUAAAAGCCCACCCCACAGCUCCACCCUGACAAUAAGGCAAUGCGUAAUUGCCCAUUCUUAUUCUUUCAUCCUUCAUAUUAUUAUUUACAAUGCAAAUUAUAAGACACAAUUAAUUAGAUUGAAAAUAUAGAUAAUUGAAUAUUUCAGUAAAAUAUCCUUAUUUAUCUCACAGAAUGACCCAUAAUAAAGGCAGAUGAUGUGUCCUCACCUUUUGUAACCAAACCAGAUACCUAAAAAUAAGUUAAUUGACACUAAAGAGCAUAUUUAAAUGAUAAAAUAAUUCAUCUAUAAGUAUAAAAUUUAAAUAUUUUUUAGAUAUGUUGCUAAUGGCUUUUUAAAUCAUUUUUAUUUUUUCUAUUAAAAUUUUGCCAGAUUGAAUGAAAACAGAAUCUACUGUAUUUUCACUUACAUCAGCAUUACUUAAACAUCCUAUAAAUAGAAGCAAGUUUUUUAUUGUUUAAAUUCUGCAUAAAAUGCAAGACUGCUAUAUUAUUUUCAGAAAGAUUGAAAAAAUCUCAAAGAAUAAGCCGAAUCCCUUAUAAUUGCUACCAAAUUCCCAGUUCGAAUGUAGAGAAUAUUUUUGAGUCUAAUUUUUAUCUGACUUUCUACGGUAACGUUACCAUGGCCAUAUUAAUUCAUUCAAAUUGACAGAGUCUAUACUCAAAGAUAUAAUAUAAUGCAAUAGAAAAUAGUAAUGUAGCCAAAAUUUCAAUAUUUUAGAGUCAAAGAAACAUGCUUUCAUAGCUACCUAGUGGAAUGAUUAGAGAUAUUUUCCAAUUUCUCUGAGGCUGAGUUUACUUUUUCAAUUGGAAAUAAAAUAGUGUUUGUAUUUUCUUAUUUUUGGUAAGAAAUACAUACAAUAUUCCUGUCAUAUAGUUGGUACACAAAAAAAUGACAGUUGGUAUCAUUAAAUAUAAACAUCACUGAUUAGGAAAACAAGAUGUCAGUUCAUGAUGAGUUGAGAAGACCUAACAUAAUUUUCUAACCCUAAUUAGAGAAUAAACAUUGAACACGCAAAACACCAAAAAAUUAUAUUUAAUGAUACUCUUCCUUAUUGCUUUAUUUUUUCUUCUCUAGUAUCUAUUCACUAGUAUCUUAUUCUGUAAUUACAUAAUUCUGAAAAGUUAAGCUUCUACAUAUUGGUACUACAUAGCUGCUUGAUGAAGAAGGAAAAUGUCAGCUCUUCUGUCACUCAAAAAACACAACAUAUAGAAGCUAACCAAAUCUUUUUUAGCUCCAUUGAGAUAAAAACAAAACAAAACAAAACAAAAACACUGGUAUAUUAAGCAGUUCAUCACUAGGAGAAAGAAUUUGAGCACUAUUCCUAUUUCUAACUCAAGUGAUGUGCAUGAUUCUGGAAAAAAACACCUCAUUCAUCAGGUACAACAUGUAAAAAUGUAUGUAAAAAUAAAUGUGUUGGUUGACGUAGUCUUUCUUAUUAACUUUAAACAUUUUUCACACCAAAUGAAAGGAUUUUAAGCAACAUCAUAUACAAUUUAGGUUGGAUGAGAAUUUCCUUAUUGUAGCAGCAAUCAAACAUUAGAAUGACAUAUAAAAUAUACUUUGACUGUCUCUCACAGCAGAUUAGCAGUUAAUUACAUAAGCAGUUAAUUACAUAAUCUAAAUCGGCAGCAGUUAAUUACAUAAGCUUAUGUUAAAUAAUUUUCCAAAAUUAUGUCUACCUAUAGCAUUACAAAUGUUCAAUAAUUUUUAAAAAUAAAUUACGUAUGCUCAUUUAUAGGCACUUUAGUUACUUAGACUACAAAUAGUAAUAAAAAUUAGCUUCUAAGAGAACUAUUCAUUUCUUCUUCUUCCCAUUGUAAAGGAUGUAAAACAACACCUAUAAGAACAGUUACUUAACAAGAACCGAUUUUAAGUUGUUUGUUUGUUUGUUUUCUAAACACUGACAGCUGUCAUUGGGAAUAGGAAAGGUACUAAAAUCAUAUGGCUGACACAUGUUUGAGACAAAAGCCUAGAUAUCACCAAUUUUAGAUAUUCUUUUUAAUAUACAGUUAGAUUUGCAACAGUAACUUAGUGUUUGUCUUCAGUGCAUUCUGUAUUUAGCAAUGCUUAUAUAAAUACAGUGUUCAAUCCUUUUUUUUUUCCAACUAAGGUGUGCACAUAUGAUAAGAAACUAAUUUUUCUAUAUGCCUCUGCCCUCAGUUGCUGAGGGCUACUCAUGAUUGACUAUAAUCAAAUGUAAGCCUGUCACAAAUUAAACACAUAGUAUUGUAG